GACGAACGCUGGCGGCGUGCUUAACACAUGCAAGUCGAACGGAAAGGCCCUGCUUUUGUGGGGUGCUCGAGUGGCGAACGGGUGAGUAACACGUGAGUAACCUGCCCUUGACUUUGGGAUAACUUCAGGAAACUGGGGCUAAUACCGGAUAGGAGCUCCUGCUGCAUGGUGGGGGUUGGAAAGUUUCGGCGGUUGGGGAUGGACUCGCGGCUUAUCAGCUUGUUGGUGGGGUAGUGGCUUACCAAGGCUUUGACGGGUAGCCGGCCUGAGAGGGUGACCGGCCACAUUGGGACUGAGAGACGGCGCAGACGCCUACGGGAGGCAGCAGUGGGAAAUAUUGCACAAUGGGCGGAAGCCUGAGGCAGCAACGCCGCGUGCGGGAUGACGGCCUUCGGGUUGUAAACCGCUUUCGCCUGUGACGAAGCGUGAGUGACGGUAAUGGGUAAAGAAGCACCGGCUAACUACGUG
rnacentral:rRNA from 1 species